AUUGACAACAUUAAACGUAACUUAUUCUAUAUAGUAGUUGUGUUCUUAGCAAGAUAUCGUUAAAGUAAACACAAUUGAUCGUCUUCAUCUAAGGCGUUCUCAGUUAAGACAAUAGACCAAUAAUUGGACUAUACAGAAAAUAAUUUAUCGUAAAUUCAGCACAUAUAACGUGCAUACAUCUUGCUAUGUUCGCUAAUUGAACACAGACGACUAGUGUUAAUUCGUCUGUUUUUUUGUUGUGUUGUUUUGUUUUUUGACGUUUGCAAAUUAUCUGUGUAGAACGGGAAAGAUAAAUUCGAUUCUCGUUAGUAAUUACCGAAGGUGACGAUCUAAUGAAGAAGAUGUGCACGGCAUACAAUAUUUUUCACGCCAUUGAUACAGUUUAUUGUUUUCAGAUUCAUAUUCAUCCUGCCCAUGAGACUUCAAAUCAAAAAUAUUACAAAUCCAGGACUUUUCCAGUCAUUAGAUGUUGACACAUCUUGAUCUUGUAGUGGUCUAUAUCAUUAACAUGUUAAAAUUUAUUCAUUAUAGACCAAAUUGUUAGUUUGUUCCGGCACCCCACAGAGAUGUAUUUAGAGUUUUGACGCCUCAGGAUGAACAAUGCUGUUUAAAUCGACACCGUUGGUGAUCUUAUGCUUAAGUUUUUUCCGUGAUAAAUUAGUACGCAUAUAUAUUUAAAACUCUUUAAAUUUUACAUUUUUCUCUAAGUAUAACUUAAAUAUUUCAAGUUUUGAGUGCAUACACUCAUAAAAAAAAAAAAAAUGGAUUCGGAUUUGUUAUUUGUGAUAACGAUAUUGGUCAUAUAUUUCAUAAUUCCGAUUCAAGUAAUCAAAGAUAUUAUGUUAAUUGCACUGGCAGUUGUGACGCUGCAGACUUUUUUGGAAAUGGAACUUUGUAAGAAGAAACAAACUUAAACUUUUUUGUCCUCAUGAUAUUAAAAAACAUUUAUGGGAUAAGAGGUACUUAUUGUUCUCUAAAUUCGACGAAGGAAUCAUGAUGGACAAUGAAUAAUUUUAUUCCGUUUAUCCCGAGAUCUUAAGCACACGUAUAGCGUUGAGAUGCCCUGGUCUAGAAGUCGCUAUGGAUCCAUUUUGUGGUGCUGGUGGAAACGUCAUUCAAUUGGCCAAGAGAUACCCACGAGUAAUCGCUGCUGAUAUCGAUGGUAAAAAAUUAGAAUUCGCCAAAAGAAACGCAGAGAUUUAUGGAGUCAGGGACAAAAUUACAUUUAUACAGGGAGAUGUCUUCGAUAUUGCAGUAACGUUAAGCAAUUAUAAGCCACAGGUCAUAGUGACGUCUCCCCCAUGGGGCGGCCCUUCGUAUAAGAAACACGAAGCUUACAGUCUCGAGAAAAAUAUGUGUAACGACUACGAAGGAGGCGGUAGAAAAGUUUUCUUCCGCCUCAGAAGUAUUGCUCCCAACGUAGAACUGCACAUACCUAAAACUACAAGUCGAAAUGAGUUGAUUCAAUUUGGAAAAUUAUUCGACCUCAACAUGGAAGUCCAAUACAAUUAUAUCGACGAAAGACACGAUUCUAUUACUGCGUUUUUCGGUCGAUUUUUCAACAUGAACACGAAAUACUUAUCUAACGACAACAAACUUUACACGAACAGAAAACAUCUUAAGUAUCCAAAAUCUGUUGAUUACUAUUAUUGCUAAAUUAUAAUUCAGUCAAUUUUACUAAUUAUUCACAUUAUAAAGACAAAUGUUCACAUAUCCUAUUUUUUAAUAUUUUACCGUUAUAAACAUACUUAUUUAGAUAUAUAACCGACUUUUGAAAUUAUAUAAAUACUUUACAAUUCUUUUAUUUUUGCUACAGCUAGCU